rnacentral:rRNA from 1 species
AACGAACGCUGGCGGCAUGCCUAACACAUGCAAGUCGAACGGAACCGCCGGGUCGAGUGGCGCUCGGGGGCGUACCGCGUGGGAACCUGCCCGUAGGUUCCGAAUCACUCCCCGAAAGGGGUGCUAAUACCGGUUAAUGUCCUCGGACCAAAGAUUUAUCGCCUUUGGAUGGGCCCGCGUUGGUUUAGCUAGUGGGUAGGGUAAAAGCCUAUCAAGGCGAGGAUCCAUAGCUGGUCUGAGAGGAGGAUCAGCGACACUGGGACUGAGACACGGCCCAGACUGGUAGGGGAGGGAGGGGAGGGGGAUAUAGGGCCAUGGGCGAGAGGCUGAUACAGCGAGGCGGGGUAAGUGAUGAAGGCGUUAGGGAUGUAAAGCUCUUUUAACCGGGCUGAUAAUGACGGUACCGGGAGAAGAAGCACCGGCUAACUACGUG